GACGUAGGGCGCGAGCGUUGUCCGGAUUUAUUGGGCGUAAAGAGCUCGUAGGCGGCUUGUCGCGUCGACUGUGAAAUCCCGCGGCUCAACUGCGGGUCUGCAGUCGAUACGGGCAGGCUAGAGUUCGGUAGGGGAGACUGGAAUUCCUGGUGUAGCGGUGAAAUGCGCAGAUAUCAGGAGGAACACCAGCGGCGAAGGCGGCGCUCUGGGCCGGUACUGACACUGAGGAGCGAAAGCGUGGGGAGCGAACAGG
rnacentral:rRNA from 1 species